rnacentral:miRNA from 1 species
CAUAGUAGGGUUUAGGAA